ncrna:unclassified sequences RAGATH-18 RNA
GCUGUGGAGCGUUUAAUAAUCUGGAGUAGCUACGGCGAAACAGGACGCGGAGAAGCAGCGA